GUGCAGCAGUCGCGAAUUUUCUCAAUGGGGGAAACCCUGAAGGAGCGACGCCGCGUGGAGGAUGAAGGCUUUCGGGUUGUAAACUCCUGUCAUUUGAGAACAAGUGGUAGCUAAGUAACUACUGGCUACUUGAUAGUAUCAGAAGAGGAAGAGACGGCUAACUCUGUGCCAGCAGCCGCGGUAAUACAGAGGUCUCAAGCGUUGUUCGGAUUCAUUGGGCGUAAAGGGUGCGUAGGUGGCGGGGUAAGUCAGGUGUGAAAUUUCGGAGCUUAACUCCGAAACUGCAUUUGAUACUGCCUUGCUUGAGGACUGGAGAGGAGACUGGAAUUCACGGUGUAGCAGUGAAAUGCGUAGAGAUCGUGAGGAAGACCAGUGGCGAAGGCGGGUCUCUGGACAGUUCCUGACACUGAGGCACGAAGGCCAGGGGAGCAAACGGGAUUAGAUACCCGCGUAGU
rnacentral:rRNA from 1 species